UUUGUUGUGAACGUUAAAUAUCGCGGCAGGACCUUUUUGUAAACGUAACGUCGUUCCCGGCAAAUUUGACAGUUGCCGAUUAAACGUUACGAAAUUCCGCCAACAUGUGGCGUUCGAAUAACAUCUUUGUUUUCUAGCUUGUUAUGAAUCCUACAUUUCUUUAGUUACUUGUAUUUACAUGCUUUAUAUUGUUGAAUCGGUGUCGAGACCUUUGACAUCGUGCUUGCUUUCUUUAUAUUCAUAUUUAUUUACGCACUGACAGUUAUUUACAUGAUAGACCUUGACCGGCAACGAACUAUAUUCGUACACGCAAGGAUAAGGCGUGCUAAGAACUAUAAAAACCGGACUUUUCUGAUAACGAAACGAAUUUUGAACUGAUCUUGAAAGAUUCCAAGAGGUAAUAACGCAUACACGAAAAACACAUUCAAACGUUUUAACAUAUUGUAUUUCAUUUACCUGUAUUUAUUAUUAUUGAUAAUAAUAAUCUCUGAUACUUUUAAAAGUUGUUUAGUCAUUAUUUAAUAUCCAGAAACCAAAGAUAUUGUUUUUAAAUUAAAAAUUGGCAACAAUCUUUACAAU
rnacentral:lncRNA from 1 species